rnacentral:rRNA from 1 species
GUAACGAGCGCAACCCUUGUCCUUAGUUACCAGCACGUUAUGGUGGGCACUCUAAGGAGACGUGCCGGUGACAAACCGGAGGAAGGUGGGGAUGACGUCAAGUCAUCAUGGCCCUUACGGCCUGGGCUACACACGUGCUACAAUGGUCGGUACAAAGGGUUGCCAAGCCGCGAGGUGGAGCUAAUCCCAUAAAACCGAUCGUAGUCCGGAUCGCAGUCUGCAACUCGACUGCGUGAAGUCGGAAUCGCUAGUAAUCGUGAAUCAGAAUGUCACGGUGAAUACGUUCCCGGGCCUU